rfam:Salmo salar isolate Sally breed double haploid chromosome ssa23, whole genome shotgun sequence.
UGCACUCACUAUUGUAAGUCACUCUCGAUAAGAGUGUCUGCUAAAUGACAAAAA